rnacentral:sRNA from 1 species
CCGCCUAAUGCGCCGCCUACACCGGCUUCGGUGGUGCCACCGGCCGAGGCUACGCCACUGACCAGGCCAAGGGACAACAAGAGAAUCGAGGUGAGCUUCAUAAGUGAGCCUCAAAGGGAUGACGACGCGAUCCUGAGGCUGCCGGGGAGUGGUGACAAUCGAAUUCCGACCAGUAACACGAGUUGUACACAAUUAUAUAACUUGUUGUUUUUUAUCGGGAACUUAAUGGUUUUUCGAGGGUCUUUUAAUUAGUUGGCAUAGGCCGUUUUCACAGGAAACGGCCUUUUUUGUGCCUGGAAUUCCUCAGCCGCUCUGCAGGGGCGAGCAAUCCAGCUUUGCAGAUUCAGGACGGGUUAACCCGUCCUG